GACGAACGCUGGCGGCGUGCUUAACACAUGCAAGUCGAGCGGAGCGGCGGACGGGUGAAUAACGCGUGAGUAACUGCCCCCCUCUCGGGGGUAACGGUUGGAAACGGCUGCUAAUACCGGAUAGUGGGGGAUGAAUCGCGUCCUAUCAGCUUGUUGGUGGGGUAGUGGCCUAUCAAGGCGACGACGGGUAGCCGGCCUGGGAGGGCGACCGGCCACAAGGGGCUGAGAGACGGCGCAAACUCCUACGGGAGGCAGCAGUGGGGAAUAUUUCACAAUGGUGGAAACCCUGAUGCAGAAACGCCGCGUGCGGGAUGACGGCCUUCGGGUUGUAAACCGCUUUCAGCCAUGACGCGGUAGUGGCAGAAGAAGCACCGGCUAACUACGUGCCAGCAGCCGCGGUAAUUC
rnacentral:rRNA from 1 species